rnacentral:lncRNA from 1 species
GGCUGAGGUAGGAUUGAAAGUUCCAAGACAGCCUGGGUAACUUAGAAAAAACCCUCUAUUAAAACAAAAUUUUUAGGAAAAAGGCUGGGGAUAUAGUUCAGUGAUAGAGCAUUUGCCUAGCAUGUGUGAGGCUCUGGAUUCAAUUCCAUUCCACCAAAAAAUAAAAAUAAAAAACAAGCAUUUGAAGUACCCUUAUCUAAAAAUACAACAGUGAUUAGUGUCACCAAGAUACAUUUCUUGUUUGUUUUUUCCUUCCAUAAUCUGUGGAACUCUAUAAAACCAUUCAACUGAAUACAACAGUUCUGAAUUUCUACUAAGGGAAAUAUGAGGAAACUAUGAUUUAAUAGGAAAGUUAGAAUUAAAUGAAAGGCUUUGUUUCUUGUUUUGUUUAUUUGUUUGUUUUUUGUGGUACAGGGGAAUGAACCCAGGACACUUAACCCCUGAUGCACAGCCUCAGCCCAUUUUUCAUUUUUUAUUUUGAGACAGGGUCUCACUACAUUGCUGAAGCUGGCUUUGAACUUGCGAUCCUCCUGCCUCAGCCUCCUGAGCCACUGGGAUUACAGGUGUUCACCAUCAUACACUACUGAAAGGCACUUUUUAAGUUAUUUAACAUUUGUCAAAUUUAACUUGUGACCUAAACUACCCCAUCCUCUCACCAGCCAGCACAAAAUUGAAGUCUUUAGCACACUGGACCUCUUUAAGUAUGCUUUCAGGUGACCAUCUCCUGAGCAGCCCCCUCCCUCACGGUGUUCUGAGUCUUUUUCCCUCUCAGCUUUCCUUUCUUCAUUGUAUCUCAUUCCCAAAGAGCAGUUGCCCUUAGCUGUCAUUAAUGGUAUAAAGUAUUCAAAGGUCAGUGAAAACCUGGGAGGGAAUUUAUGGAGGGAGAGCCCACUCUAUAUCCAGAAAAGAGGGUACUACUUCUACCAGGUGCUCUUUAAGAGUUCGGAGGAAAAACUGACUGCC